rnacentral:rRNA from 1 species
AACGAACGCUGGCGGCAGGCCUAACACAUGCAGGUCGAGCGCCCUCUUCGGAGGGAGCGGCGGACGGGUUAGUAACGCGUGGGAAUAUGCCCAAAGGUACGGAACAACAGUUGGAAACGACUGCUAAUAGCGUAUGUGCCCUACGGGGAAAGAUUUAUCGCCUUUGGAUUAGCCCGCGUUGGAUUAGCUAGUUGGUGAGGUAACGGCUCACCAAGGCGACGAUCCAUAGCUGGUUUGAGAGGAUGAUCAGCAACACUGGGACUGAGACACGGCCCAG